rnacentral:rRNA from 1 species
CCUACGGGUGGCAGCAGUGAGGAAUAUUGGUCAAUGGUCGGGAGACUGAACCAGCCAAGCCGCGUGAGGGAGGAAGGCACUGUGUAUUGUAAACUUCUUUUGUACGGGAAUAAAGAUUAGGACGUGUCCUCGGCUGAGUGUACUUUACGAAUAAGGAUCGGCUAACUCCGUGCCAGCAGCCGCGGUAAUACGGAGGAUGCGAGCGUUAUCCGGAUUUAUUGGGUUUAAAGGGUGCGCAGGCGGUGUGUUAAGUCAGGGGGAAAAGCCCGGGGCUCAACCCCGACCCGCCGUUGAUACUGGCGGUCUAGAGUUGGAGAGAGGUAGGCGGAAUGCGUGGUGUAGCGGUGAAAUGCAUAGAGAUCACGCAGAACGCCGAUUGCGAAGGCAGCAUGCCGGCUCCACACUGACGCUGAGGCACGAAAGCGUGGGGAGCGAACAGGAUUAGAUACCCUGGUAGUC